UACUAGAGUAGCACUCGCAUAUCAAUAAGCGGAGGAAAAGAAACUAACAAGGAUUCCCCUAGUAUCGGCGAGUGAAGCGGGAAGAGCUCAAAUUUGAAAUCUUAAAGGAUUUCCCUUUACGAAUUGUAGUUUAAAGAAGUGUUUUCUGUUGAGGUUUUGGUAAAAGUUCUUUGGAAUAGGACAUCAUAGAGGGUGAGAGUCCCGUAUUUGACCUUUACUUUCAACUUUGUGAUACACUUUCAAAGAGUCGGAUUGUUUGGGAAUGCAGUCCAAAAUGGGUGGUAAAUUUCAUCUAAAGCUAAAUAUUGGCGAGAGACCGAUAGCGAACAAGUACCGUGAGGGAAAGAUGAAAAGAACUUUGAAAAGAGAGUUAAACAGUACGUGAAAUUGUCAAAAGGGAAGCGUUUGACACCAGUGUUGUUUUUCUGAAAAUCAAUUAAAGAACUGUUUAUGCUAAGCUGUUUAGACUUUAUCAGCUAUCUGUUUAGUUUUGAGCUUUUCUUUAAUGCACUUUUCAGUUAACAAGUCAACAUCAAUUUCUUUUGCUGUAAAAAAGCUUGAGGAGGGUGGCUUGAGAUUCGUCUUAAGUGUUUAUAGCCUCUUGCCUAUGCAGUCGGAGAGAUUGAGGUCUGCAGCGUAGAUCCUUCGGGGCUAAAUGCAUUUGUGCUAAGUUAUAGCAUUUUAUAGACAACUUGUUGACUAUGAUUUGUCUUGUAGCUUACUCGCUUAUGUUAUUUUACCUACGCUUAGGAUGUUGAACUACUGAGACAUAGA
rnacentral:rRNA from 1 species